AAUUUUGGACAAUGGGGGAAACCCUGAUCCAGCCAUCCCGCGUAUGAUGAAGGCCUUNNNGUUGUNACGUACUUUUGGCAGAGNAGGNAAGGUAUCCCCUAAUACGGGAUACUGCUGACGGUAUCUUCAGAAUAAGCACCGGCUAACUACGUGCCAGCAGCCGCGGUAAUACGUAGGGUGCAAGGGUUAAUCGGAAUUACUGGGCGUAAAGGGGAUGUAGGCGGUUCGGAAAGAAAGAUGUGAAAUCCCAGGGCUCAACCUUGGAACUGCAUUUUUAACUGCCGAGCUAGAGUAUGUCAGAGGGGGGUAGAAUUCCACGUGUAGCAGUGAAAUGCGUAGAUAUGUGGAGGAAUACCGAUGGCGAAGGCAGCCCCCUGGGAUAAUACUGACGCUCAGACACGAAAGCGUGGGGAGCAAACAGG
rnacentral:rRNA from 1 species